rnacentral:rRNA from 1 species
GUUACUGGUUCCUACCUUCUGACGAACUGUCAUGUCAUUAAUUUGGUGUGGCGGGGAAUCAGGACUGUUACUUUGAAAAAAUUAGAGUGUUUAAAGCAGGCUCGCGCUUGAAUACAUUAGCAUGGAAUAAUGAAAUAGGACGUUCGAUCCUAUUUUGUUGGUUUCUAGGAUUGACGUAAUGAUUAAUAGGGAUAGUUGGGGGCAUUAGUAUUCAAUUGUCAGAGGUGAAAUUCUUGGAUUUAUUGAAGACUAACUACUGCGAAAGCAUUUGCCAAGGAUGUUUUCAUUAAUCAAGAACGAAAGUUAGGGGAUCGAAGACGAUCAGAUACCGUCGUAGUCUUAACCAUAAACUAUGCCGACUAGGGAUCGGAUGAUGUUAAUUUUUUAAUGACUC